AUACGGAGGGUGCAAGCGUUAUUCGGAAUUACUGGGCGUAAAGCGCGUGCAGGCGGGUGGACAAGUCUGAUGUGAAAGCCCCGGGCUCAACCUGGGAAGUGCAUUGGAAACUGUUCAUCUUGAGUGCUGGAGAGGAAGGGGAGUUCCCGGUGUAGAGGUGAAAUUCGUAGAGAUCGGGAGGAAUACCAGUGGCGAAGGCGGCUGCCUGGACCGAUAUUGACGCUGAGACGCGAAAGCGUGGGUAGC
rnacentral:rRNA from 1 species